rnacentral:rRNA from 1 species
GGCCAGAAUGGUCAACUCUUUGGACACUCGUAAACAGGUGGUGCAUGGUUGUCGUCAGCUCGUGUCGUGAGAUGUUGGGUUAAGUCCCGCAACGAGCGCAACCCUCGUUCUAUGUUGCCAGCACGUAAUGGUGGGAACUCAUGGGAUACUGCCGGGGUCAACUCGGAGGAAGGUGGGGAUGACGUCAAAUCAUCAUGCCCCUUAUGUCUUGGGCUUCACGCAUGCUACAAUGGCCGGUACAAAGGGCUGCAAUACCGCGAGGUGGAGCGAAUCCCAAAAAGCCGGUCCCAGUUCGGAUUGAGGUCUGCAACUCGACCUCAUGAAGUCGGAGUCGCUAGUAAUCGCAGAUCAGCAACGCUGCGGUGAAUACGUUCCCGGGUCUUGUACACACCG